GGCUCAGUAACACGUGGACAACCUACCCUAUGGAGGGGGAUAACCCCGGGAAACUGGGGAUAAUACCCCAUAGACUAUAGAUGCUGGAAUGCUUUGUAGUUGAAAGGUCCGCCGCCAUAGGAUGGGUCUGCGGCCGAUUAGGUUGUUGUUGGGGUAACGGCCCAACAAGCCUGUAAUCGGUACGGGUUGUGGGAGCAAGAGCCCGGAGAUGGAUUCUGAGACACGAAUCCAGGCCCUACGGGGCGCAGCAGGCGCGAAAACUUUACAAUGCGGGAAACCGUAAUAAGGGAACUCCGAGUGCCCGUAAAAUCGGGCUGUCCAUCUGUUUAAAUAACAGGUGAAGAAAGGGCCGGGCAAGACCGGUGCCAGCCGCCGCGGUAAUACCGGCGGCUCGAGUGGUGGCCACUAUUACUGGGCUUAAAGCGUUCGUAGCUGGUCUGUUAAGUCUCUGGGGAAAUCUACUGGCUUAACCAAUAGGCGUCUCAGGGAUACUGGCAGACUAGGGACCGGGAGAGGUGAGAGGUACUCCAGGGGUAGGAGUGAAAUCCUGUAAUCCUUGGGGGACCACCUGUGGC
rnacentral:rRNA from 1 species